rnacentral:rRNA from 1 species
GACGAACGCUGGCGGCGUGCCUAAUACAUGCAAGUCGAACGGUCUUUUCUAUGGAAGCUUGCUUCCACUGAGAAGAUAGUGGCGAACGGGUGAGUAACACGUGGGUAACCUGCCCAUAAGAGGGGGAUAACAUCCGGAAACGGGUGCUAAUACCGCAUAGUUUUCUUGAUCGCAUGAUCGAGAAAGGAAAGACGGCCUUUGUGCUUUCGCUUAUGGAUGGACCCGCGGCGUAUUAGUUAGUUGGUGGGGUAACGGCUCACCAAGACGAUGAUACGUAGCCGACCUGAGAGGGUGAUCGGCCACAUUGGGACUGAGACACGGCCCAAACUCCUACGGGAGGCAGCAGUAGGGAAUCUUCCGCAAUGGACGAAAGUCUGACGGAGCAACGCCGCGUGAGUGAAGAAGGUUUUCGGAUCGUAAAACUCUGUUGUCAGAGAAGAACAAGUCGGAGAGUAACUGCUCCGGCCUUGACGGUAUCUGACCAGAAAGCCACGGCUAACUACGUGCCAGCAGCCGCGGUAAAAC